rnacentral:lncRNA from 1 species
CAGUCCCCCUUCUUGACCACAUGUCAAUAAAAACACAUCUUCUCCCUUGGUGGUUUUGGUAGUUCAUGUUAACAUACAUUGUGUUGGACUAAUGUUUUUCUCAAGUAUAUUUCAUGAAAAGUUCAACUUAGGCAAGUGAAUGGAUGGAGUUAUGGACCCCUCAAGCUACUAAGGAACCAUGUUGGCAAAACUUCAAGACUCUACAUUUUUGGUUUAGUGGUCCAAGGUCACAUUGAGUCCAUAGGAAAGUCAAUACUAUUAAAAGGGGAUGAGGUCUUGAUCAUGAGUCAUUUCCUCAAGUGCUUGAAGAUAUUGCUCCAAAACCCUCAACCACACCCUCCAAAUCAUAUCUGUCCAAAAUCUUAAAUCCUAUCUCAGUCC